CCUACGGGUGGCAGCAGUGAGGAAUAUUGGUCAAUGGACGUGAGUCUGAACCAGCCAAGUAGCGUGAAGGAUGACUGCUCUAUGGGUUGUAAACUUCUUUUAUAUGGGAAUAAAAUGUUCCACGUGUCGGAUUUUGUAUGUACCAUAUGAAUAAGGAUCGGCUAACUCCGUGCCAGCAGCCGCGGUAAUACGGAGGAUCCGAGCGUUAUCCGGAUUUAUUGGGUUUAAAGGGAGCGUAGGUGGAUUGUUAAGUCAGUUGUGAAAGUUUGCGGCUCAACCGUAAAAUUGCAGUUGAAACUGGGAGUCUUGAGUACAGUAGAGGCGGGCGGAAUGCGUGGUGUAGCGGUGAAAUGCUUAGAUAUCACGAAGAACUCCGAUUGCGAAGGCAGUCCGC
rnacentral:rRNA from 1 species